UACAGAGGGUGCGAGCGUUAAUCGGAAUUACUGGGCGUAAAGCGCGCGUAGGCGGCUUUGCAAGUCGGGUGUGAAAAUCCCCAGGCUUAACCUGGGAACUGCAUUCGAGACUGCAUUGCUAGAGUAUGGGAGAGGGAAGUGGAAUUUCCGGUGUAGCGGUGAAAUGCGUAGAUAUCGGAAGGAACAUCAGUGGCGAAAGCGACUUCCUGGACCAAUACUGACGCUCAUGUGCGAAAGCGUGGGGAGCGAACAGG
rnacentral:rRNA from 1 species